rnacentral:tRNA from 1 species
GGGGCGAUAGCUCAAUUGGUAGAGCACUAGCUUUGCAAGCUAGGGGUUGCCGGUUCGAGUCCGGUUCGCUCCA